rnacentral:rRNA from 1 species
UGCCAGCCGCCGCGGUAAUACGGAGGGGGCAAGCGUUGUUCGGAAUUACUGGGCGUAAAGGGCGCGUAGGCGGGACGUCAAGUCAGGGGUGAAAGGCCUGGGCUCAACCUAGGAACUGCCUUUGAAACUGACGACCUUGAGUACGGGAGAGGAUGGCGGAAUUCCCAGUGUAGAGGUGAAAUUCGUAGAUAUUGGGAAGAACACCAGUGGCGAAGGCGGCUAACUGGCUCGGUACUGACGCUGAGAUGCGAAAGCGUGGGGAGCAAACAGGAUUAGAUA